rnacentral:rRNA from 1 species
UGGGGAAUUUUGGACAAUGGGGGAAACCCUGAUCCAGCCAUCCCGCGUGUGCGAUGAAGGCCUUCGGGUUGUAAAGCACUUUUGGCAGGAAAGAAACGUCGCGGGUUAAUACCCCGCGAAACUGACGGUACCUGCAGAAUAAGCACCGGCUAACUACGUGCCAGCAGCCGCGGUAAUACGUAGGGUGCAAGCGUUAAUCGGAAUUACUGGGCGUAAAGCGUGCGCAGGCGGUUCGGAAAGAAAGAUGUGAAAUCCCAGAGCUUAACUUUGGAACUGCAUUUUUAACUACCGGGCUAGAGUGUGUCAGAGGGAGGUGGAAUUCCGCGUGUAGCAGUGAAAUGCGUAGAUAUGCGGAGGAACACCGAUGGCGCAGGCGAGCCGUACCGUGGAUAACACUGACGCUCAUGCACGAAAAGCGUGGGGAGCAAACAGGAUUAGAUACCCUGGUAGUCCACGCCCUAAAACGAUGUCAACUAGCUGUUGGGGGCCUUCGGGCCUUGGUAGCGCAGCUAACGCGUGAAAGUUGACCGCCUGGGGAGUACGGUCGCAAAGAUUAAAAACUCAAAUGAAUUGAC